rnacentral:rRNA from 1 species
GGCGGGUGCUAACGUCCGUCGUGAAGAGGGAAACAACCCAGACCGCCAGCUAAGGUCCCAAAGUCAUGGUUAAGUGGGAAACGAAGUGGGAAGGCUCAGACAGCCAGGAUGUUGGCUUAGAAGCAGCCAUCAUUUAAAGAAAGCGUAAUAGCUCACUGGUCGAGUCGGCCCGCGCGGAAGAUGUAACGGGGCUAAACCAUGCACCGAAGCUGCGGCAGCGACACAUAGUGUUGUUGGGUAGGGGAGCGUUCUGUAAGCCUGCGAAGGUGUACUGUGAGGUAUGCUGGAGGUAUCAGAAGUGCGAAUGCUGACAUAAGUAACGAUAAUGCGGGUGAAAAACCCGCACGCCGGAAGACCAAGGGUUCCUGUCCAACGUUAAUCGGGGCAGGGUGAGUCGACCCCUAAGGCGAGGCUGAAAAGCGUAGUCGAUGGGAAACGGGUUAAUAUUCCCGUACUGGUGGUAACUGCGAUGGGGGAACGGAGAAGGCUAGGUUGUCCGGGCGACGGUCGUCCCGGUUCAAGCAGGUAGGCAGAGUGAUUAGGCAAAUCCGGUCACUUAAUGCUGAGAUGUGAUGACGAACCACCAAGGUGGUGAAGCAAUUGAUGCCCCGCUUCCAGGAAAAGCCUCUAAGCUUCAGGUUACCAACAAUCGUACCCCAAACCGACACAGGUGGUCAGGUAGAGAAUACUCAGGCGCUUGAGAGAACUCGGGUGAAGGAACUAGGCAAAAUGGUGCCGUAACUUCGGGAGAAGGCACGCUGGCGGUAGGUAAAGUCCC